rnacentral:rRNA from 1 species
CGGUUAAGUUAGAAAGGGCGCACGGUGGAUGCCUUGGCACUAGGAGCCGAUGAAGGACGGGACGAACACCGAUAUGCUUCGGGGAGCUGUAAGCAAGCUUUGAUCCGGAGAUUUCCGAAUGGGGAAACCCACCACUCGUAAUGGAGUGGUAUCCAUAUCUGAAUACAUAGGAUAUGAGAAGGCAGACCCGGGGAACUGAAACAUCUAAGUACCCGGAGGAAGAGAAAGCAAAUGCGAUUCCCUGAGUAGCGGCGAGCGAAACGGGACCAGCCCAAACCAAGAGGCUUGCCUCUUGGGGUUGUAGGACACUCUGUACGGAGUUACAAAGGAACGAGGUAGAUGAAGAGGUCUGGAAAGGCCCGCCAUAGAAGGUAACAGCCCUGUAGUCAAAACUUCGUUCUCUCCUGAGUGGAUCCUGAGUACGGCGGAACACGUGAAAUUCCGUCGGAAUCCGGGAGGACCAUCUCCCAAGGCUAAAUACUCCCUAGUGACCGAUAGUGAACCAGUACCGUGAGGGAAAGGUGAAAAGCACCCCGGAAGGGGAGUGAAAGAGAUCCUGAAACCGUGUGCCUACAAGUAGUCAGAGCCCGUUAACGGGUGAUGGCGUGCCUUUUGUAGAAUGAACCGGCGAGUUACGAUCCCGUGCAAGGUUAAGCAGAAGAUGCGGAGCCGCAGCGAAAGCGAGUCUGAAUAGGGCGAAUUGAGUACGUGGUCGUAGACCCGAAACCAGGUGAUCUACCCAUGUCCAGGGUGAAGUUCAGGUAACACUGAAUGGAGGCCCGAACCCACGCACGUUGAAAAGUGCGGGGAUGAGGUGUGGGUAGGGGUGAAAUGCCAAUCGAACCUGGAGAUAGCUGGUUCUCUCCGAAAUAGCUUUAGGGCUAGCCUCAAGGUAAGAGUCUCGGAGGUAGAGCACUGAUUGGACUAGGGGCCCCUACCGGGUUACCGAAUUCAGUCAAACUCCGAAUGCCGAUGACUUAUCCUUGGGAGUCAGACUGCGAGUGAUAAGAUCCGUAGUCGAAAGGGAAACAGCCCAGACCGCCAGCUAAGGUCCCAAAGUAUACGUUAAGUGGAAAAGGAUGUGGAGUUGCUUAGACAACCAGGAUGUUGGCUUAGAAGCAGCCACCAUUUAAAGAGUGCGUAAUAGCUCACUGGUCGAGUGACUCUGCGCCGAAAAUGUACCGGGGCUAAACGUAUCACCGAAGCUGCGGACUGUUCUUCGAACAGUGGUAGGAGAGCGUUCUAAGGGCUGUGAAGCAAGACCGGAAGGACUUGUGGAGCGCUUAGAAGUGAGAAUGCCGGUAUGAGUAGCGAAAGAGGGGUGAGAAUCCCCUCCACCGAAUGCCUAAGGUUUCCUGAGGAAGGCUCGUCCGCUCAGGGUUAGUCGGGACCUAAGCCGAGGCCGAAAGGCGUAGGCGAUGGAUAACAGGUUGAUAUUCCUGUACCACCUCCUCACCAUUUGAGCAAUGGGGGACGCAGGAGGAUAGGGUAAGCGCGGUAUUGGAUAUCCGCGUCCAAGCAGUUAGGCUGGGAAAUAGGCAAAUCCGUUUCCCGUGAAGGCUGAGCUGUGAUGGCGAGCGAAUUAUAGUAGCGAAGUUCCUGAUUCCACACUGCCAAGAAAAGCCUCUAGCGAGGUGAGAGGUGCCCGUACCGCAAACCGACACAGGUAGGCGAGGAGAGAAUCCUAAGGUGAUCGAGAGAACUCUCGUUAAGGAACUCGGCAAAAUGACCCCGUAACUUCGGGAGAAGGGGUGCUCUGUUAGGGUGCAAGCCCGAGAGAGCCGCAGUGAAUAGGCCCAGGCGACUGUUUAGCAAAAACACAGGUCUCUGCGAAGCCGUAAGGCGAAGUAUAGGGGCUGACGCCUGCCCGGUGCUGGAAGGUUAAGAGGAGCGCUUAGCGUAAGCGAAGGUGCGAAUUGAAGCCCCAGUAAACGGCGGCCGUAACUAUAACGGUCCUAAGGUAGCGAAAUUCCUUGUCGGGUAAGUUCCGACCCGCACGAAAGGCGCAACGAUCUGGGCACUGUCUCAACGAGAGACUCGGUGAAAUUAUAGUACCUGUGAAGAUGCAGGUUACCCGCGACAGGACGGAAAGACCCCGUGGAGCUUUACUGCAGCCUGAUAUUGAAUGUUGGUACAGCUUGUACAGGAUAGGUAGGAGCCUUGGAAACCGGAGCGCCAGCUUCGGUGGAGGCAUCGGUGGGAUACUACCCUGGCUGUAUUGACCUUCUAACCCGCCGCCCUUAUCGGGCGGGGAGACAGUGUCAGGUGGGCAGUUUGACUGGGGCGGUCGCCUCCUAAAAGGUAACGGAGGCGCCCAAAGGUUCCCUCAGAAUGGUUGGAAAUCAUUCGCAGAGUGUAAAGGCACAAGGGAGCUUGACUGCGAGACCUACAAGUCGAGCAGGGACGAAAGUCGGGCUUAGUGAUCCGGUGGUUCCGCAUGGAAGGGCCAUCGCUCAACGGAUAAAAGCUACCCCGGGGAUAACAGGCUUAUCUCCCCCAAGAGUCCACAUCGACGGGGAGGUUUGGCACCUCGAUGUCGGCUCAUCGCAUCCUGGGGCUGUAGUCGGUCCCAAGGGUUGGGCUGUUCGCCCAUUAAAGCGGUACGCGAGCUGGGUUCAGAACGUCGUGAGACAGUUCGGUCCCUAUCCGUCGCGGGCGCAGGAAAUUUGAGAGGAGCUGUCCUUAGUACGAGAGGACCGGGAUGGACGCACCGCUGGUGUACCAGUUGUUCUGCCAAGGGCAUCGCUGGGUAGCUAUGUGCGGACGGGAUAAGUGCUGAAAGCAUCUAAGCAUGAAGCCCCCCUCAAGAUGAGAUUUCCCAUUCCGCAAGGAAGUAAGAUCCCUGAAAGAUGAUCAGGUUGAUAGGUCUGAGGUGGAAGUGUGGCGACACAUGGAGCUGACAGAUACUAAUCGAUCGAGGACUUAACCAAUUU